UGCCAGCCGCCGCGGUAAUACGGAGGGUGCGAGCGUUAAUCGGAAUUACUGGGCGUAAAGCGCACGCAGGCGGUUUGUUAAGCUAGAUGUGAAAGCCCCGGGCUCAACCUCGGAAUAGCAUUUGAAACUGGUCAUCUAGAGUACUGUAGAGGGGGGUAGAAUUUCAGGUGUAGCGGUGAAAUGCGUAGAGAUCUGAAGGAAUACCAGUGGCGAAGGCGGCCCCCUGGACAGAUACUGACACUCAGAUGCGAAAGCGUGGGGAGCAAACAGGAUUAGAUA
rnacentral:rRNA from 1 species